rnacentral:lncRNA from 1 species
CUUACUAUCAUACCUUCCCUCGACGAAUAUUUUUACAGAUUUUCAAAGCACGCCUUUAACAAUGGAUGGUCCAGGUUCGAAACACAACAAUCCCAAAUGGACCAAUGCCUCCUUUAUACUUUAUUGGACCUCUGAUUGCAAGCAAUGAUGGAGGCCGUAAAAGUGCUGAACAUGAGUGUUUGAAUUGGUUAAAGUUACAGCCCAGUAAAAGUAUUAUUUUUCUGUGUUUUGGAAGUAUGUGAUUGUUCACGGCGGUGCAGCUGGCGGAGAUGGCCGCUGGUUGGAAAAUAGCGGCCACAGGGUUGUUUGGGUAGUGCGUAAUCCACCCGCGGAUGACAAAACCAAUACUCAACCAGUAGAGCCAGACUUGGAUGCGUUGCUGCCACGAGGUUUUCUUUCGUUUAAAAGUUUAAUUACUUGUAAUGUUAUAUUCACCUCCCUACAGUGGUUGAAUUAAAUUUUUCCUGUCAAAGACAAAUAUUUGAAUAAUUUAUAAUAAAUUGGUGGGUCAAUUUUCAGGAAAUGAGAACAACAAGACUUGAUUAUCCGUUACACUACAAAGUUAACUAUCGUAUUUAACGUUUAUUUAUUUAGAUUUUGUCUUCAAUAGGUUUCUUGGAAAGUAAAGAUAGAGGGGCUGGUGGUAAAUUCAUGGGCUCAGCAAGUGGCGGAUUUGUGACACAUUACGGUUGGAACUCAAUUCUAGAGGAUAUUUGCGCGGGUGUCUCUUGGCCACUCUAAGCAGAGCAAAGAAUGUGAAGGUGGCAUUGGGUUUAACUGAGUCUGCCAACGGUUUCAUGACAGCUACUGAGUUGGAGAACCGACUUAUAGAGUUGGAGGACUCGGAGAAACGGGAACUUCCUUCUUUUGUACAUUUUUGUGGAUAACCAAAGGGUUACUAUAUCCCUGUAACACUACUCUCAAUUUGCUUUACUAAAUGGGAAAAGUUGCAGUAUUAGUCCAGGAUCAUGUUACGUGUAGAAUUUUAUUUUUAUUUUUUUACAAACUCCCUUACUCGC